GUGGAGACCACCAAGCCCUCCAAACAGAGCAACAAGUACUCGGCCAGCAGUUUCCUGAGCCUGUCACCUGACCAGUGGAAAUCUAGAAGCAGCUACACCUGCCAGGUCACGCAUGAGGGGAGCACCUGGAGAAGAGAGUGGUCCCUGCAGAGUGCUCUUAGGUUCCUGAGGCUUCCAGG